UGGGGAAUUUUGCACAAUGGGGGAAACCCUGAUGCAGCGACGCCGCGUGAUUUAGAAGGCCUUCGGGUUGUAAAAAUCUUUUCUAUGGGAAGAAAAUGACAGUACCAUAGGAAUAAGGACCGGCUAAUUACGUGCCAGCAGCCGCGGUAAUACGUAAGGUCCGAGCGUUGUCCGGAAUCAUUGGGCGUAAAGGGUACGUAGGCGGGUAAGCAAGUUAGAAGUGAAAUCCUAUAGCUCAACUAUAGUAAGCUUUUAAAACUGCUCAUCUUGAGGUAUGGAAGGGAAAGUGGAAUUCCUAGUGUAGCGGUGAAAUGCGCAGAUAUUAGGAGGAAUACCGGUGGCGAAGGCGACUUUCUGGCCAUAACCUGACACUGAGGUACGAAAGCGUGGGUAGCAAACAGG
rnacentral:rRNA from 1 species